CAUACACUCAUAAUCAAAGCCCAGCAACCACAAACAACAAAUCAGAAGCAUCAAAGCCAAAAAAAUCAGAAAUCGAAGCUACAAAAGGUAUGAAAUUCCCUAAUUUUGAAAUCUUUUGAUUCUAUAUUAAUUGAUGCAAUUGAUUGUUUAAAGUAGUGUAAUAGGGAGUCUAUUAAUGUUCUGGGUUGUAAAAACACAGACCCAUAACAUCAAAGUGCACGAAUUUGAAGAUUUAAGCAAGUUGGAAAAACCGAAUUCUAUUAUUUUUCACCAAAUGUCAGAGGCUAUAACUCUUUGUUAGAUCAUUGGUUUUGUUGUUUAAAGGUUGUUAUGUGUAGCUUUUUAUGUGGUAUUUAACCUCCAAAAAGAAUCAGGUCCAUAUAUAUUAUGGAUUAAGAGUUAUUUAAGGUCAAAGUGGGUUGACCGGAAUUGACCGAAAAAUUCUGGGCAGCCCAGAAUUUUCUAAGUGUUGAUUUUUCUGACAAGGUUUGACCAUACUUUAGUUGCUUGAUUUCUUGUUGUUAUGAUGAUGUUAAGUGUUAAAGGUGUAGUCCUAUAUGUUGUCUACACACUGGAGUUGAUAGAUCACAUAAACGUUACACGAUCGUCAAGUUAUAGAGGCCCAAAGUAGGAAUCACGAACUGUUCUUCACGAAGAACAGCUCUGACAGCUAUUUUGAUGGCUAAUUUCUCCCAGAUCUGAUGUUGUUUAGAAGUAAUGAUUAUUGGUAAUUGUAGUCUUACAUGAGCCCUACAAGAUGUAUGUGUUAGAUUUCCCAAAAACAUCACGAUCAGAUCUAAAAUCGAGGUCAAACUAGG
rnacentral:lncRNA from 1 species